UGGUGUGGGGAAGAGCUCUUUCAUUUUUCAUUGACCGCCAAAUAACUCCAGCCAAAACUCAAAUUUCCCCCUUCUUCACCAGCAAAAGUGAAAAAUGGGCAAUUUCAGAAACCUAGCAGCCGCCUCCAACACUCACUCUCCCUAUGCGUCUCUCUCUCAUCCCCCUCUCUCACUAAGUCAUUGUCUCUCCCUCUGCGUCUCUCUCUCAUCUCAUCCAUCUUCAUUUGCCUCUGACCGUCUCUGUCUCUCUCUCUCACGAUCUCACCCUCUCCGUCUCUCUCCCGAUCUCACCCUCUCCGUCUCUCUCACGAUCUCACCCUCUCUGUCUCUCUCCCGAUCUCACCCUCUCUGUCUCUCUGUCCUCUGUCUCAAUUAGUUAGAUUUCAGUCUCUUUUUCAUGUCUCUGUUUUAUUUUUUUUUUGGUAUAAAUUAUCAUAUGGGUUUUUGGUAUUUCGUAAAUGUCUUUCAAUUUUCAAGGCAUGUGGUCUUUUCUAUUGUUAAUUUGUCACUUUUUGUUUCAGAUUUCAUUUGGGUAGCAGAGAAAAUGCAUAUUUGUCAAUUGUGCAUUUUACUUGCGGUGAUUUGGUUGUACAGGUUCUGUCAUGAAGCAUCAACUAUGAUGAGGGACAUACCAAGCCUAUCCUUUCUGUGUGCUGGGAUCUAUCUGGUUAGAGCAUACUUACAGCGUCAAUGGAAGCAGAUUCUAUCUGGAAGGGUGUCUCUUCAGGAUUUUGUAUCUGCAAAGGAGGUUUGCCUAGGCACCUACCGUGCGUGUAUCUAUUUUUCUGUUCUUAUUUCAUUACUGUCUGUCAUGUAUUGUCUUCUUACUUGAUAUAUUUGAUUUUACACAUUGACUGAAACUUUGUUUUGGAAACAGAACUAGCUCUGUUCUUGUUUUGACAGGAUAAACAAACAAUGUUAUUGUUAAUGGGAAAUAGCAGCAGCCCAUCAUUAGCGAAGAUUCAAAGGAAGCUCUGAAGCAUGCAUUCGAACUCUUUAAUGUUCGAUUGGAAGUAGACUUUGGGACUAGUGAUAUAGGACAUAGCUUAGGAUUGUAAUGAAUAUUUGUAAUUUAUUACAUUUGUCUUUUAUUAAUGAUGAUAUACACUAUUCUUCGAAC